GUAAAUAUCAAAUUUCAUUGUGCGCAGAAUGUCGGUGAGCAAAGAUAGAUCAGAUUUCAAUAGACAAAUUAUGCCGAUACAGCUCGUCGAAGAAAUCAACACGUCGCAAACGUUACAAGAAAAUAUAUUUCUACACCAGUACUGACCGAUGUGGCUGUUAUUUAGCUGUUGGUGUCUAUCCUAAACUACAAGGAUUUAUUCAAUACUGAGAUGUGUAACGAAAUAUAGAGAUCUUUUGAUUUCUGAAAUAUCGCAAACAAUGUUGCUUGUAAACAAUGCUACUCGGACUGCUGAAACUUCAGAACCAUCCUCAGAUACGAAAAACCAGAAGCUGUUGAAACUUGAUGCUCAAGAAAUAUGUCGAGGCAUACCUCCCUGUUAUCAAACCUACGGUAAAAUAAUCCGACAAUAGCCUACUCAAAGAUAAGUCAAAGACUCGUUUGUGCGUGUAUGUUACAAAUACGAAUACUGUAUAUGUUUCAUGUUUGACAUUUAGGACAUUUAGAGAAUGCAGUCCGCAUGAUAAAUUUGAUAAAUAGCUUUA